rnacentral:rRNA from 1 species
AACGAACGCUGGCGGCAGGCCUAACACAUGCAAGUCGAACGCCGUAGCAAUACGGAGUGGCAGACGGGUGAGUAACACGUGGGAACGUACCCUCGGUUCGGAAUAACUCAGGGAAACUUGAGCUAAUACCGGAUACGUCCGAGAGGAGAAAGAUUUAUCGCCGAGGGAUCGCCCGCGUCUGAUUAGCUUGUUGGUGAGGUAACGGCUCACCAAGGCGACGAUCAGUAGCUGGUCGG